rnacentral:rRNA from 1 species
UACGGAGGGUGCAAGCGUUAUCCGGAUUCACUGGGUUUAAAGGGUGCGUAGGUGGGAAUGUAAGUCAGUGGUGAAAUCUCCGUGCUUAACAUGGAAACUGCCAUUGAUACUAUGUUUCUUGAAUUUUCUGGAGGUAAGCGGAAUAUGUCAUGUAGCGGUGAAAUGCUUAGAUACCUUGCAGAACUCCGAUUGCGAAGGCAGUCCGCUAGGCUUUAACCGACGCUCAGGCACGAAAGCGUGGGGAUCAAACAGG